AAACAGAAAUGGGUGUCCCAAUCAGGCAUUCUUUCAAUCGUAAGAAAGCACUAAGCUGAAGUGACUGCAACAUCCUUUUCUGUAUUCAAGUGAGUGUCCCAAUCACAUAACAUUAAUAGUAUAUAUUUCUGUCCUUUUUACAUACAUAUCCAUGGGUACGCAGUUACGUUUAACUUUUCUUUGGCAGACUUGGUUUCAGUAUCUUCCCACAUAGGAAUGGUUUCUUAUAACUAAGUUAAUGGAAGUCGAGUCGGGUCGCUUUCAAU
rnacentral:lncRNA from 1 species